UUCCAUUGCACGAUGGAUGGUAUGCAGU
rnacentral:sRNA from 1 species